GAUGAACGCUGGCGGCGUGCCUAAUACAUGCAAGUCGAGCGAACGGACGAGAAGCUUGCUUUUCUGAUGUUAGCGGCGGACGGGUGAGUAACACGUGGAUAACCUACCUAUAAGACUGGGAUAACUUCGGGAAACCGGAGCUAAUACCGGAUAAUAUUUUGAACCGCAUGGUUCAAAAGUGAAAGACGGUCUUGCUGUCACUUAUAGAUGGAUCCGCGCUGCAUUAGCUAGUUGGUAAGGUAACGGCUUACCAAGGCAACGAUGCAUAGCCGACCUGAGAGGGUGAUCGGCCAAACUGGAACUGAGAAACGGUCCAGACUCCUACGGGAGGCAGCAGUAGGGAAUCUUCCGAAAUGGGCGAAAGCCUGACGGAGCAACGCCGCGUGAGUGAUGAAGGUCUUCGGAUCGUAAAACUCUGUUAUUAGGGAAGAACAUAUGUGUAAGUAACUGUGCACAUAUUGACGGUACCUAAUCAGAAAGCCACGGCUAACUACGUG
rnacentral:rRNA from 1 species